ACCGGCCCUUCUCCAAGCCGCCGCUUCUAUAUAGCUGCUGGGGCCAAAAAGGAGCCCAGAGUGAGUUUUCCUGGACAGUCGCCAUUUUGUUUGCUCUGAGCUGGAACAUUUGGAAAAAGGCAGUU
ensembl:snoRNA